GUGACCAGGUGUAUACGUGAGCACGCGUUGCAUGUCCAACACGUGGCUAACACCGUUCAGUAAAACGUUAAGUUGGGGAAGUGCAUGUGGCCUCGGCCUAUCCAACAUGUGCCUCCUGAUUUUAAUCCCCUCUCUCAUCAAAAUGACAUCACACAAUCUUAUCCCCUCACAGCCUCCAGGGCGAACAGUGGCUCGUGUUCGCUGGCGAGGAGACAAGGCAGCCCGUGUAAGCCAUCAGGCGGAACGGGUGGGGGAAGACGAUGGCGAACUUCACGGCUUGCGCCGGAGGGACUUCGCUGUCGUACGACAGCGAGCUCGUGCAGGUCUACUGCGGCAUCCUUCUUGUGUUGGGAUCUCGCCGUCGCAUUCUUGUUCUUAGCCGAUGUGAUCCAAUUCAAGCUAGCGUCGGGCUCGGGUAGAUUGGAUUGUCGAGGAUAAUCGCAGCUGCUGCCGACAGAGAUUAUGGCGUGGUUUCUCUGAGGAUUUUUGGCUCCAGCGACGGCGGAGAAUUUCGCGGUUUUUCCCCUGCCCUCGGUUGCAGACGUCCAUCCGUAUCAAGAAUUAUAUGCUAGCUAGAGCAGCCUCUUCUGUGUUCGCGUCCUCUUUUUUUUUUUUACUAUUCUCAGUAUGAUAGUAUCCAUGUGUUACUCUCGAGAAAAGUCUUUGGUCUUGCGAUCUGUUCUCCAUCCAGAGCUCUCCUAUUCUCCGCCUGUCUCUGCUUCGUUGACCGGCGAUGCGCGAGGUGUAGGCUGGCGAGGUGGAGGUGGGGCGGCGGAUGCGGUGAGGUGGAGGUGAGGCCAGCUAGAAGGGAGCGCGGCCACGCUAGGAGGGAGCACUGCCGCGCGAAGGCCGGGGCCGGCCGCCGGCGUUGCAUCGCGCUGGGGCACCCGGAGUGUUUGCGUCAGCUAUAAGAUUUGUUCUGAGUUGGCGCGGUGGCAGUGGCGGCGCGCGGAUGUUGCUGGGAGGUGGAAGGGGAAGGGAGCACGAUCCUGCCGCCGGCACCCUCCGCCCGCCCCGACGAGAUCCUCCUGCCCGCCCGCUCCGACCGGAUCUUCCGGCCCGGCGACUCCCUCCGCACGCUGCAACGGCCUCCUCCACUUUAGGCCGACGACUCCCUUCGCCUUGCUGUGACAGCGACCUCCGCCCGACGCCGACGACGCCCCUCUGUGACGGCGGCCACUCACCAGCGCCGAAAGGAAGGGCAGACUGCAGGUGGGCGGAGGAAUACACUGGGCGGAGGGCGCCGUCGCAGCCAGAGAUGGGCGGAGGGUGUCGGGGUGGGUCGUCUCGAGAGCUCCGUCGUUCCCGGAGGUGGGCGCAGCGGCCGGACUGGAAAUAUCUGCCCCAAGAGCUGCGAGACCGCACACUCGUUUCUGACCCGUGCGUGAGGAUUGACUCGCUCUGACGGAGCUGUUUUAUUAUUUUUUAUCUGAUGAUUCGGCUGUCAUCACUCGGCUACCUUGAAAAGAUAUUCCACGCCGUUAGGUGGCUGUUAACGUC